GGUAGGAAUACCCGCUGAACUUAAGCAUAUCAAUAAGCGGAGGAAAAGAAACCAACAGGGAUUGCCUUAGUAACGGCGAGUGAAGCGGCAACAGCUCAAAUUUGAAAUCUGGCCCUUGGGUCCGAAUUGUAAUUUGUAGAGGAUGAUUUUGGUGCGGUAUCUUCCGAGUUCCUUGGAACAGGACGCCUUAGAGGGUGAGAGCCCCGUACGGUUGAAUGCCUAGCCUCUGUAAAUCUCCUUCGACGAGUCGAGUAGUUUGGGAAUGCUGCUCUAAAUGGGAGGUAAAUUUCUUCUAAAGCUAAAUAUUGGCCAGAGACCGAUAGCGCACAAGUAGAGUGAUCGAAAGAUGAAAAGCACUUUGAAAAGAGGGUUAAAUAGCACGUGAAAUUGU
rnacentral:rRNA from 3 species